rnacentral:rRNA from 1 species
UAUGUGAUCGUCUCUCGCAUAUCAAUAAGCGGAGGAAAAGAAACUAACAAGGAUUCCCCUAGUAACGGCGAGUGAAGCGGGAAGAGCUCAAAUUUGAAAUCUUAAAGGGUUUCCCUUUACGAAUUGUAGUUUAAAGAAGUGUUUUCUGUUGAGGUUUUGGUAAAAGUUCUUUGGAAUAGGACAUCAUAGAGGGUGAGAAUCCCGUAUUUGACCUUUACUUUCAACUUUGUGAUACACUUUCAAAGAGUCGGAUUGUUUGGGAAUGCAGUCCAAAAUGGGUGGUAAAUUUCCGUCUCAAGGCUAAAUAUUGGCGAGAGACCGAUAGCGAACAAGUACCGUGAGGGAAAGAUGAAAAGAACUUUGAAAAGAGAGUUAAACAGUACGUGAAAUUGUCAAAAGGGAAGCGUUUGACACCAGUGUUGUUUUUCUGAAAAUCAAUUAAAGAACUGUUUAUGCUAAGCUGUUUAGACUUUAUCAGCUAUCUGUUUAGUUUUGAGCUUUUCUUUAAUGCACUUUUCAGUUAACAAGUCAACAUCAAUUUCUUUUGCUGUAAAAAAGCUUGAGGAAGGUGGCUUGAGAUUCGUCUUAAGUGUUUAUAGCCUCUUGCCUAUGCAGUCGGAGAGAUUGAGGUCUGCAGCGUAGAUCCUUCGGGGCUAAAUGCAUUUGUGCUAAGUUAUAGCAUUUUAUAGACAACUUGUUGACUAUGAUUUGUCUUGUAGCUUACUCGCUUAUGUUAUUUUACCUACGCUUAGGAUGUUGACUGAUAUGUAGUCGUA